GACGAACGCUGGCGGCGUGCUUAACACAUGCAAGUCGAACGGUGAAGGGACUGGUUUUGCUGGUCCUGGAUGAGUGGCGAACGGGUGAGUAACACGUGAGUAACCUGCCCCCUUCUUCUGGAUAACCGCAUGAAAGUGUGGCUAAUACGGGAUAUUCUGGGUCUGCCGCAUGGUGGGCCUGGGAAAGAUUGCGCCUUUUUUGGUGUUUUUGGUGGGGGAUGGGCUCGCGGCCUAUCAGCUUGUUGGUGGGGUGAUGGCCUACCAAGGCGGUGACGGGUAGCCGGCCUGAGAGGGUGGACGGUCACACUGGGACUGAGACACGGCCCAGACUCCUACGGGAGGCAGCAGUGGGGAAUAUUGCACAAUGGGCGCAAGCCUGAUGCAGCGACGCCGCGUGAGGGAUGGAGGCCUUCGGGUUGUGAACCUCUUUCGCCAGUGAAGCAGGCCUGCCUCUUUUUGUGGGUGGGUUGACGGUAGCUGGAUAAGAAGCGCCGGCUAACUACGUG
rnacentral:rRNA from 1 species